UUGUAUUUUCUUAGUAUAACUAAUAAUGUACAAACUAACCUUAAAGUGUCAUUUGUUGCUAUGUGAUUCUGCUACAUAUGACUAGCAUACAGCUUAGAUCAUAUGUGAUCCACAACAAUUAACUGUACUAUACCCUGGUCAGAAAUAAUCCCAUUGAUCAAAAACCUACAUAGGUAAACUUGUGUCAUGGGGAUUGUUUUACCAACUAUUUCAUCACCCAGAUAUUAAGCCUAGUACCCAUUAGUAAUUUUUCCUGAUCUUCUCCCUCAUCCCACCCUCUACCUUGAAGUAGGCCCCUCAGUGUGUGUAGCUCCCCUGUGUGGGUCCAUGUGUUCUCAUCAUUUAGCUCCCACUUAUAAGGUAACAUGUGGUAUCUGGUUUCCUGUAAUCCCAGCACUUUGGGAGGCCGAGGCGGGCGGAUCACGAGGUCAGGAAAUAGAUAAUCUUACUCAGUAAAUAAAUUAAAAAAUUUUGAG
rnacentral:lncRNA from 10 species